AGUGAACGCUGGCGGUAGGCCUAACACAUGCAAGUCGAACGACAGCACCGUAAGAGCUUGCUCAUACGGGUGUCGCGUGGCGGACCGUGGAGGAAUACAUCGGAAUCUACUUUUUCGUGGGGGCUAACAUCGGGAAACUUCUUCUAAUCACGCAUACGACGUACGUGUGAAAGCAGGGGAUCUUCGAACCUUGUGCGAUUGAAUGAGCCGAUGUCGGAUUAGCUAGUUUGCGGGUCAAAGGCACACUACGGCGACACUCCGUAGCUGCUCUGAGAGGAUGAUCAGAUAGAUUGGAACUGAGAAACAGUCCAGACACCUACGGGAGGCAGCAGUGGGGAAUAUUGGACAAGGGACGCAAGGCUGAUCCAGCAAGACCGCGUGGAUGAAGAAGGCGUAAGGGCUGGAAAGCCCUUUUGUUGGUAGAGAAAUGCAGCAGGUUAAUACCCGACGGUUCUGACGGUACCCAAAGAAUAAGCUCCGGCUAACUUCGUG
rnacentral:rRNA from 1 species